AUGCAAGUCGAGCGCCCCGCAAGGGGAGCGGCAGACGGGUGAGUAACGCGUGGGAACGGUACCCCUUUACUACGGAAUAACGCAGGGAAACUUGGGCUAAUGCCAUAUGUGCCCUUCGGGGGAAAGAUUUAUCGGUAAAGGAUCGGCCCGCGUUGGAUUAGCUAGUUGGUGGGGUAAAGGCCUGCCAAGGCGACGAUCCAUAGCUGGUCUGAGAGGAUGAUCAGCCACAUUGGGACUGAGACACGGCCCAAACUCCUACGGGAGGCAGCAGUGGGGAAUAUUGGACAAUGGGCGCAAGCCUGAUCCAGCCAUGCCGCGUGAGUGAUGAAGGCCCUAGGGUUGUAAAGCUCUUUCACCGGAGAAGAUAAUGACGGUAUCCGGAGAAGAAGCCCCGGCUAACUUCGUGCCCGCAGCCGCGGUAAUACGAAGGGGGCUAUUUUUUUUUUCGGAAUUACUGGGCGUAAAGCGCACGUAGGCGGAUCGAUCAGUCAGGGGUGAAAUCCCCAGGGCUCAACCCUGGAACUGCCUUUUGAUACUGUCGAUCUGGAGUAUGGAAGAGGUGAGUGGAAUUUCCGAGUGUAGAGGUGAAAUUUCGUAGAUAUUUCGGAGGAACACCAGUGGCGAAAGGCGGCUCACUGGUCCAUUACUGACGCUGAGGUGCGAAAGCGUGGGGGAGCAAACAGGAUUAGKAUACCCUGGGUAGUUCACGCCGUUAAACGAUGGAAUGUUCAGCCGGUCCGGGCAGUUAUACUGGUCCGGUGGCGGCAGCUCUAACCGCAUUAAAACAUUCCGCCCUCGUGGGGACGUACGGGCGCAAGAAUUUAAAAAUUUCUAG
rnacentral:rRNA from 1 species